rnacentral:rRNA from 1 species
CCUACGGGGGGCAGCAGUGGGGAAUAUUGGACAAUGGGGGGAACCCUGAUCCAGCCAUGCCGCGUGUGUGAAGAAGGCCCUCGGGUUGUAAAGCACUUUCAGUGAGGAAGAACGCCUGGUGGUUAAUACCCAUCAGGAAAGACAUCACUCACAGAAGAAGCACCGGCUAACUCCGUGCCAGCAGCCGCGGUAAUACGGAAGGUGCGAGCGUUAAUCGGAAUUACUGGGCGUAAAGCGCGCGUAGGUGGCUUGAUAAGCCGGUUGUGAAAGCCCCGGGCUCAACCUGGGAACGGCAUCCGGAACUGUCAAGCUAGAGUGCAGGAGAGGAAGGUAGAAUUCCCGGUGUAGCGGUGAAAUGCGUAGAGAUCGGGAGGAAUACCAGUGGCGAAGGCGGCCUUCUGGACUGACACUGACACUGAGGUGCGAAAGCGUGGGUAGCAAACAGGAUUAGAUACCCUUGUAGUC